GGUGCGAAGAGAGAGGAGAAGGGGAAGGAAGCGAGGGGAGUGCGGACUUACCAGGCGUGAAACACUGAGAGGAGGAAGAAAAGCGGCAGGAGCUUAGCGGACAUGAUCCGGGCAGCGCUGGCCAGAAGCACGAGCAUCAAGGGCAGGCAGGCUUGGACCUCUGGGGCUGGACAACCCUUGAGUGAUUGUUCUGAGGACGUCGGUAACACCAGCCUGCAGUGAAUGAAGAUCCACUGAGGCCAAGGCUGCUAUGUCCGUAACAAAAUACUGGAAGAUGGAAAACUCGCAAGGAAUGAAGGGGAUGAAGAGAAGACACACAAGAAGCCCAGACAGCUCCCCAGUCCUGGACCAGACCCUCACCUCAAAGUGAAGCACGGACUCUCUUCUCCGUCCCAAACAGAACAUGGGGCUGAUGUUCCAUAGCAAGAAAGCAGCUAAUUCGGAAACUUCCUUAUUCACUGUCUUCGCUCAAUAUGUACCUUUCUGGGAAACACUGAGGAUGGG